rnacentral:tRNA from 1 species
GGAUAUGUGGCUCAGUGGUAGAGCGUUCGCUUUGCAUGUGAAAUGCCCCGGGUUCGAUCCCUUGCAUCUCCA